rnacentral:rRNA from 1 species
GUACGUCUACGAGUAGUAGUUUCGACGUCCGUGGCUACGAGACGACGCUGGCGGCGUGCUUAACACAUGCAAGUCGAGCGAUGAAGCUCCUUCGGGAGCGGAUUAGCGGCGGACGGGUGAGUAACACGUGGGUAACCUGCCUCAUAGAGGGGAAUAGCCUUUCGAAAGGAAGAUUAAUACCGCAUAAGAUUGUAGCUUCGCAUGAAGCAGCAAUUAAAGGAGUAAUCCGCUAUGAGAUGGACCCGCGUCGCAUUAGCUAGUUGGUGAGGUAACGGCUCACCAAGGCGACGAUGCGUAGCCGACCUGAGAGGGUGAUCGGCCACAUUGGGACUGAGACACGGCCCAGACUCCUACGGGAGGCAGCAGUGGGGAAUAUUGCACAAUGGGGGAAACCCUGAUGCAGCAACGCCGCGUGAGUGAUGACGGUCUUCGGAUUGUAAAACUCUGUCUUUGGGGACGAUAAUGACGGUACCCAAGGAGGAAGCCACGGCUAACUACGUG